AAACCCUAGCCCUUGCCUCCUCAUUUCAUUGAGUCCUUUGCUGGCUGUUGAGAUUGAGAGCAGCACACACCUACAACAAAAGAGAGGAAAGAAGAGAGGAAGAGAAAAUCUGUCUAGAUUCGACCUCCGUAUUGAUCUUCACCAGGCUUGUUCAUCGGAAGCUCAAACGGGGGUGGAUCAGCUCCAAACUUGGUGAGUUCAUUUCACAUUCAGAGCACUUCAAUUUCGUCGGUUGGUUUGAGGAUUAAGUGGUCAGAGAGCUGGAUUAGUGAGUGGUUUCGUCAGAUCUGUUUGCUGAAACUUUAGAGAUGCGCAAUGUUGGGAUAUUGUCAGUUUGAGGGGUCAAAUGAUGUUGGAUUGAACUGAAGUUUUGACGGCGUGUUGAGGACUCAUAGAACUACAUAUCUGCCAAGUUUCACGCAUUUUGGUCCAUCCGUUUAAGAACAGUAAUCUGAUAACCGAAAGGGACAGAAACUGCAUUUUUCUGUUUAGCUGAAUUUGAGCUAUAUCCUUUUGCUCCUGUAAAGAGUGGUUGUUGUUGAUGGUGAUAGCAAGUUUGUAACUUGUAAUGGUGCAGUUGUGAUUCUCUAGAAGUUCUAGAGAAGACUCAAUUUUAUCCAUUUACUAAUAGUGGAAGUUGGAGUGGACCGGUCGGUCCCGUGAUUUUACUCCUCGUGUUGAUGAGGUUUUCCACGUAAAUCAUUGUUUCACUUGUGCAUGUGAUUUGUGUUUAUUCCGAUACUUGUUGGUUGAACCUAUCCUCAAAGUUUAUUACAGGUUGAGGGGGUUUAGGUUUGCUUAAUUGCUGUCCAAAUCCCUACAUUCAUUUUGUUGAAUUUGAAAUAUUUGUUAAAAAAUCAUGUUUGUCUACCACAUGGAUUUGUAAAGUGAGAGACAAUUCCAAAGAAAUGACGACUUUUGAAAAAAAAAAUGUGGUUAGUUAUAAGCAGUUCAAUGGAAUUUGAGAUUGAAUUCAUGUGGCCAAUUCCACGCCAACCAAACAAGUUCGUUUCUGAAAUUCAAAAAAAAAUCCACAUCCCUCAAUACAACGAGCUGUAAGGAGUAUUUGCUUUCUCUCAAAAUCAAUGUUUCAUUGUCUGCAGAGUGUUAUGCAUCGACACUUAGUUUUGAUAAAUUCAGCAGCGCAGUUGAAGUAAAGCUUGGAAGAUCACACACUUUGGAUUAGAAACAGAGUACAGAGGUCAGCGAGAGACAGGAAGCGCCGAGGCUGUU
rnacentral:lncRNA from 1 species